rnacentral:lncRNA from 1 species
GUUAGUGGAGCAUGUGUGGUUAACCGACACACUAACUCGUAUUUAACAAGGUAGGCAAAGGGUAACAUAAUGUUUAUGAUAGUAUCGAUAGAGCGUGUGUGGUUAACCGACACAUCGAUUGAGGGAUAAACACUUAAGGGUACCAAGUAAUUUGCAUGGUUACUUCACACCUUGUUUUGUGAUCCUCGGCAUCCCAGUCACAAAAGCUGAAGGGCACACUCGAGAUUGAAACAUGCCAUUGAAAGUUCAAUGAAUCUCAAAAGAUCUAGGGGUUUCAAAUCCAAUUAAAACCUAAUAAAUUAUUUCGUUUUUUUCAUGGUGGAAAUUGGUGAAUCGUCAUUCACCUACCUUCAAAUAUUCUAUAACUUGGAUUACGGCAUCCCUCUUUCAAGUUAUAAAAUAGUUUGUUGAAUGUCAGAAGUGACAAUGGUCUAGAAUUCAAGAAUAAUGAUCUUGAGAGCUUUCUGGCUGACAAGGGGAUAACUCACAAUAUUUCGGCCCCUUAUACACCACAACAGAAUCAGAUUGUUGAAAGUCGAAACCCUUCUUUAUGUGAGGCUGCCAGAACCAUGCCCAGUUUCACUUCACUUCCGUUAUAUUCUUGGGCUGAUACUGUUGCAACCACAUGGUACACUCAGAAUCGGUCCUUGCUAAACAAGAGAUUCUCAAUUACUCCAUAUGAGAUCUUAAACAACCGAAAGCCAAAUGUCAAAUUUUUCCACAUAUUGGGUUCAAGGUGCUUUAUUUUCAAUUCUAAAGAGAACCGAAAUAACUUUGAUGCCAAAGCCGAUGAAGGAAUUUUUCUGGGUUAUUCACUAACAUCAAAAGCAUACAGAGUGUUGAAUAAACGCUCAAAACGAAUUAAAGAAACCUAUUAUGUCCCCUUCAAAGAAGUGAAAGUGACUUAGGAGAAAUUUUUUCGGAAUCUGGACAAGUCUCGGUUCCAAUAGCCAACCUGUUUGAGGAAUACAUGCGGCUGUUUGAUGAACCAGAGAAAGUGGCACACUCAAAAGCGAAAGCAGGAGAUAACAAAAUUGAUAAUCUCAAGAAGAUUAUAGAUGAAGCUGCCAAAGAUAUGCAAAGUGAACCUCCUAUAGCUAAUGGUAAUCCACCAUCAAAAGACUCAAAGUUUCAGGGGGAAAGUUCAACUGCAUCAAAAACAAACAAAGUAUUUUUCAAGGGGGAGGAUCCAAUUCCGUCCGCACCUCAUAAAGGUUCAGGCGUAAGGGGAAAUUUGUGCUCCAAAACCACCCAAUAGUAGUCCUAUCGAGGGGGAGAGGGGAAUCCCACUCCCAAAGAGAAUGCAAACUUUGAUGCUGCCACAGAUUACACAUCGCCAGUCGAGGGGGAGAAAGGAAAUACAACUAACGAACGUGAUGAUGAUCAAUUAGAAUUUGAUGUUGAACCGAACGUUGAAUUAGACCCGGCAUAUGAUCCAAAUUAUCCUCCGUUAGUAAAAUGGACCAAGGACCAUCCCAAAGCACAGAUUAUUGGUGAAACUUCAGAGAACGUUCUUACUCAUUCUCAAUUGAAAGCCAAACAAACUACAUUAUUCUCUAAAGUUGAAUUUUUUAUGUUUAAUUCGUUUGUUUCCAAGAUUGAACCGAAAACUAUCAAUGUUGCACUUGAUCAUUCAGAUUGGGUCCAAGCAAUGCAAAAUGAGCUUCAAGAGUUCGAACGUAACCGAGUUUGGAGGCUAAUACCUACACCAAAGGAUUCGUCUGUGGUUGGCUUGAAGUGGGUCUUCAGAAAUAAGUUGGACAAGGAAGGGAAUGUCAUUCGCAAGAAGGCUCGGCUGGUGGUCAAAGGUUAUUGCCAAGAGGAAGGAAUAGACUAUGAGGAAACCUUCGCUCAUGUAGCUAGGUUGGAAUCAGUUAGAAUCUUCUUGGCGUAUGUUGCUCAUAAAAACUUCGAAGUUUUCCAAAUGGAUGUCUAAUGUGCCUUUUUAAAUGGAGAAUUGGAAGAAACUGUUUAUGUUGAGCAACCACCAGUGUUUGUUAACGAGAAAUUCCCUGAUCAUUGCUAUGUGUUGGAUAAAGCAGUCUACGGAUUAAAGCAAGCACUGAGAGCCUGGUAUGAAACUUUAACUUCCUUCUUAAAAAUGUCAAAAUUUAAACAAGGUUCGGUUGACCCAACCUUCUUUCGAAAGAAAGAAGGCGAACAUCUUAUGAUAGUUGAAAUUUAUGUUGAUGAUAUCAUCUUCGGCUCUACGAAUCCUAGCUUAACAGCUGAAUUCAGGUAGUUGAUGGAGACUAAAUUUGAAAUGAGCACAAUGAGUCCAAUUUACUUUUUCCUUGGUUUAAAUAUUAGACAAGGAAUCAACCAGGAGGCUUAUACAAAGAACUUACUGACGAAAUUCGGUAUGAUCGGUGACUCCAAGGUGAAGGUUCCUGUGGCAUUUGGCACCAAUUUAACACCAUCUCUGGAAAAACCUGCUGUCGACAUAACACUAUAUAAUCAAAUGAUAGGGUCCCUUAUGUAUCUAACAGCUAGUAGACCGGGUAUUAUGUUUUCUGUUUCUUAUUGUGCUAGGUUUCAAGCUAAUCCAAGAGAACCUCACAUGGUGGCAAUGAAGAAUAUAUUAUGUUACCUAAAGUGAACCUCAUCUCUCAGUCUCUGGUAUCCUGCAAGAUCUGGAUUCUUCAUUCAAUCUUUUUCUGAUGUUGAUCUUGGAGGAUGUGGUCUAGAUAGAAAGAGCACUAUAGAUGCAUGCCAAUUUCUUGAUAGAGAACUUGUUAGCUGGCAGUCCAAAAAGCAAACAUGUGUGUCACUUUCAACAAUCGAAGCUGAGUAUACAGCUGCAGCGUCUUGCACUUCUUAUGUAAUAUGGAUUCAAAGUCAACUGAGAGAUUACGAGCUAAGUAUGAAGAAAAUUCCUCUCUAUUGUGAUUCAGAAAGUNNNNNNNNNNNNNNNNNNNNNNNNNNNNNNNNNNNNNNNNNNNNNNNNNNNNNNNNNNNNNNNNNNNNNNNNNNNNNNNNNNNNNNNNNNNNNNNNNNNNCACGAAGGCCUUACCUGAAAUAAGUUUCAAUAAAAUUUUACAAGGCCUGUGAAUGAUGGAAGCAAAGUCGGUACCGAAUUCUUAAAUCUUGCACUAAAAAUUUAAACAGGCGAAAUGGAGCGAAUGCUCGGUCUAUUUCGGCUCAUUAAUUUUCGAGAACCGAAAUGAACCGAUCGCUCUUAAAUCUUUUUCUGAUGUUGAUCUUCGAGGAUGUGGUCUAGAUAGAAAGAGCACUACAGAUGCAUGCCAAUUUCUUGAUGGAAAACCUGUUAGCUGGCAGUCCAAGAAGCAAACAUGUGUGUCACUUUCAACAAUCGAAGCUGAGUAUACAGCUGCAGCGUCUUGCACUUCUUAAGUAAUAUGGAUUCAAAGUCAACUGAGAGAUUAUGAGCUAAGUAUGAAGAAAAUUCCUCUCUAUUGUGAUUCAGAAAGUGCAAUAACGAUUUGUCACAAUCCAGUGCAACACUGAAAAACUAAGCACAUUGCACUAAGAUAUCAUUUCAUCAAGGAUCUUGUAGAAGAUGGGAACGUGGAAGUACACUUUGUUCGAUCCUCUUAUCAACUUGAAGACAUAUUCACGAAGGCCUUACCUGAAAUAAGUUUCAAUAAAAUUUUACAAGGUCUGUGAAUGAUGGAAGCAGAGUCGGUACCGAAUUCUUAAAUCUUGCACUAAAAAUUUAAACAGGCGAAAUGGAGCGAAUGCUCGGUCUAUUUCGGCUCAUUAAUUUUCGAGAACCGAAAUGAACCGAUCGCUCUUAAAUCUUUUUCUGAUGUUGAUCUUCGAGGAUGUGGUCUAGAUAGAAAGAGCACUACAGAUGCAUGCCAAUUUCUUGAUGGAAAACCUGUUAGCUGGCAGUCCAAGAAGCAAACAUGUGUGUCACUUUCAACAAUCGAAGCUGAGUAUACAGCUGCAGCGUCUUGCACUUCUUAAGUAAUAUGGAUUCAAAGUCAACUGAGAGAUUAUGAGCUAAGUAUGAAGAAAAUUCCUCUCUAUUGUGAUUCAGAAAGUGCAAUAACGAUUUGUCACAAUCCAGUGCAACACUGAAAAACUAAGCACAUUGCACUAAGAUAUCAUUUCAUCAAGGAUCUUGUAGAAGAUGGGAACGUGGAAGUACACUUUGUUCGAUCCUCUUAUCAACUUCAAGAGAUAUUCACGAAGGCCUUACCUGAAAUAAGUUUCAAUAAAAUUUUACAAGGUCUGUGAAUGAUGGAAGCAGAGUCGGUACCGAAUUCUUAAAUCUUGCACUAAAAGUUGAAACAGGCGAAAUGGAGCGAAUGCUCGGUCUAUUUCGGCUCAUUAAUUUUCGAGAACCGAAAUGAACCGAUCGCUCUUAAAUCUUUUUCUGAUGUUGAUCUUCGAGGAUAUGGUCUAGAUAGAAAGAGCACUACAGAUGCAUGCCAAUUUCUUGAUGGAAAACUUGUUAGCUGGCAGUCCAAGAAGCAAACAUGUGUGUCACUUUCAACAACCGAAGCUGGGUAUACAGCUACAGCGUCUUGCACUUCUUAAGUAAUAUGGAUUCAAAGUCAACUGAGAGAUUAUGAGCUAAGUAUGAAGAAAAUUCCUCUCUAUUGUGAUUCAGAAAGUGCAUUAAGGAUUUGUCACAAUCCAGUGCAACACUCAAAAACUAAGCACAUUGCACUAAGAUAUCAUUUCAUCAAGGAUCUUGUAGAAGAGGGGAACGUGGAAGUACAGUUUGUUCGAUCCUCUGAUCAAAUUGUAGACAUAUUCACAAAGGCCUUACCUGAAAUAAGUUUCAAUAAAAUUUUACAACGUAUGGGAAUGAUGGAAGCAGAGUCGGUACCGAAUUCUUAACUCUUGCACUAAAAAUUUAAACAGGCGAAAUGGAGCGAACGCUCGGUCUAUUUCGGCUCAUUAAUUUCGAGAACCAAAAUGAACCGAUCGCUCGGUCUAUUUCAGCUCUGGAAUUUUAAGGAAGCGAAAUGAACCGGGCGCUCGGUCUAUUUCGGCUCAUUAAUUUUCGAGAACCAAAAUGAAGCGAUCGCUCGGUCUAUUUCGGCUCCCCAAUUUUAAGGAACCGAAAUGAACCGAACGCUCAGUCUAUUUCGACUCAUUAAUUUUAAGGAACCGAAAUGAACCGAACGCUCAGUCUAUUUCGACUCAUUAAUUUUAAGGAACCGAAAUGAACCGAACGCUCAGUCUAUUUCGCUUCACUCCUUAAAGAUAAGGUUUCGGUUGUAUAUUCUGUAUUUUCUAUAAUCUCUAUUUUCUUAACUACUUUCUAUUUUUAUUAUUUUUUAGAAAACUUCAAAAUUUUCCAAAAAUAUUUUCUCUUUUUGCUUUUAUCAUUUGUCAGAAAAGUUCAAAAUUUCCAAAAAUAUUUUCUCUUUCUUUUUUUUUCAGAAAACUUCAAAAAUUCCAAAAACAUUUUCUUUCAUUUGUGUGCUAGUUUUGUUUGUGUGGUGUGUUUGUUUGCUCUUACUUUUAAUUAGGUCACCAGGGUACCAGGAUAACAGAAUUUGGACCUAAUGAAGGUACAAUCUUUUACAUGAGAACUAGUUAAGAGUCCCUAGAAGCAUGCUGGUGUAUGUUGAUCAACGCCUCUACGACUUAGAGAAAGGCCUUAAUGAUUCUAUUUAUACCUAUCGUAUCUUCCCAAUCAGGCUAUUAACAUCAACUCAGUCUAGAGCUACCUUACUCUUCUCAUAUGAGUUAAGAGUUUAUCUGCUUUGUCAUGUCUUUAUAGCAGAAGGUACUUUCGGUUCUUUAGCCAUCCUCCUUACAUUCUCCAUCAACUUUCGGUUCACCAUUGUAACCCUUGAGACUCUCGGUCCUUACCACUUUGGUUUAUGGUUGCAUAAAUUAUGUGUUUGUGAUCUUAGAUACGUACACCACGUGCUAAGUGAAACCCAAAAUCCAACACCUAUAAUGAAUUGACGGUGAAUCAUGGCAUUCAAGUUCUUACUGGUUACCCAUUAAAAUCUUAUUUUUAUUUUUGCGUGAUCUUUUAUGAAUUCGUCUAACACCAAGGCUUUUCUUCCCAUAAAGAUCUAGUUUAUUUUUUUUUGAGAUUUCUAUAACUUCUUUCGUCAUUCUAAAAAAUAUCCCACCCACUUGUUCAACAGACCACAUCGGUUUCACAAGUUCUUUUUCCAAUGUUCGGUCUUACAUUAAGAAUCAACGUUCGGUUGAAGUUAAGCCACCUUAAGCCUAUGUCUUAAAAGGAAGCCUUUCAUUGUUUCUCAACAAACACUUGAUCGUAUUUUUCGGGAAACCACAAAAGCACUUCAAGUCUAUCUUGACUUUGAAGGAAGCGAUUCUUGCCCGGGAUCACCUGCUUUCAGUCUUAUAAUGAGACAUCACUUACAUCCCAUACAUAUUUGCUUUAUUUCUUUAUCGUUUGUCACUCUAUUGCACGGAAAUUUUAUUUUUCGAAACUCUAGUUGUUGUUGGUUCAAGUUUGCUUAAACAGGGGCAAUCAUGUUCCUUGAAGUAAUACUGAAUUUCAAAUGACGAUUGAGGGUAAGAAUUUGGGCGCGUGAAUUUGAACGAUCUCUAUACCCACGUGUGCUGACGUUUACCUGGGGGUACCCAACCUGUCACAUCGCGCUUUUCCAGGCGACGUUUUAGUGAUCACGUCAUUAUCGUCAUCUACAUUCUCUAUCAUGGCAACAAUAUAUAAAGAGAUUUUCUUUUAUUUGUCUUUUACCAGCAUCAAAUUCUCUCAAGAUUACAACGCAAGUUCCAACAGUUUAUCUUCCUUCUCCGUUCAACAAUGGCAACGUAUUCAUCCGUUCACGAUCAGACUGCUUCAUCUACAAUGCUUUCAAUCAAGCCAAAUCAAAAUAUGACCAUCGAACUUAACCCGUUUUUGUAUGAUUCGUAUAUGCUUCAUGUUGCUAUGUGUUUGAAUUAUUCUCCACUGGUUGUAGCCCUAACUCAAGUUGAAAUUGUUCUGAUGUCACUAUUAUCGCAGGUCUACUCUGCGGCCUCAUAUAACAAGAACAAAGAACGUAUUUUCUUUCAGAUACAUAACAUGAAGGCUUCUAUUUCAAAGGGGAGGUUUUGUUCGUUGAUGAAUCUUGAUGUUGAUUCCUCAAUAAUCUCACCAGACUUUAUCACGACUACACAGUUGUUCUCAAUGCUUUACUAGAUGGGAUAUACGGAUGUGCUCACCACAGUCACAAAAGUUAAGAAGUCUUGUUUACCUUCGCAAUGGACUGGUUUGUUAACUCUUCUCAUCAAGAGUUUGGCAGAAAGGAGUGGUGGAUGAGAUGGUGUAACACCCCGAAACUUUGCUUCCUCGCCGUAACCGUUCCGUCAAAACUCGUCUUAAGCGAAUUGUUCCGAUUUCGUUCUGAACUAGGUCAAUUAAUUCAAGACCUUUAUUUUGACUUGGUAAGUAUCCAAACAUGUUGGAAACAUGCGAAAAUGUCCCGAACUAGUAAUUUGAAAAAUUAUAGUUUUGACCAUAUCAGGUAACGACAACUUAAUCGGGUGCGACCCAAAGCAUCGGUUAACGUUGGUAUCGGGUAAAAUUCCACCAUGUAUCCAAGUCAAACCAUAUUUAAAGUGGAUUAAGCCUCAUUUGAAGCUUUUUCACUAUCUCUCUAACCUCUCUCCUCAAAUCCAUCUUGUUAAGCCAAAAUCAACCAUUUCAAGCCUUAAAACACCAAGGUAAGCAUCCUAGCUCCUAGUAUAACAUCCUUAGCUUUCAAUUUCGUCUUUAAAUCAUGUGUUAGGACCAUAAACAUGUGUUUACGACCCUGGAUCAGUCUUAGGCCGUGAACACAUGUAAUUCUGGUUUUUGAGCCUUAAAACCCUUCCAAAUAACCAUAGGAGCUUAGAUAUGGCUUAUGGAAUUAUUGGAAUGCAAUUAAAACACCUUGAAUUUCAAUUUUAAGGAGUAAACAAGAUUUUACAGCCCAAGAACAAGCUUGGGCUGUAAACUCAUAUAAAUGGGUGGUAAACUCCUCUUUUGGGUGUUAAAAUGCAACUUACACACCCCUUAGGCUUUGGAAUAAAUUAUGGAACCAAUCAAAAAUCAUUUAGGGGCCUUAAACAUAUCGUAAACUCUCUAAUUGAGAGUUUACGGCCAGAUCAUAUGCUCCAGGGCUGUAAACUCCUAGAUAGAUACCAUUUGAAGCCCUAAACUCACCCCAAGCCUUGUAAAAUUUAGUUGAAUCACUUGUGAUUAAUCCUUGGUCUUCAAAAUAAUUAAGAAUGAUGUGGGUGAGAGUUUACGGCCGUAAACACUUAGUUUACUGCCGUAAACUCAGAAAUUGGUCCUUAUGGUUGAGUUAAUUCCUUGAUAAUGCCCUAGAAACAAACCUAGCAACACCCAUUAUUUGAUUUAAGGCCAUUUAGCUCAUAGAAACAUCCACCAUGAUGUUACGGCCAUAAACUCAUGGGGAUGUGGUGUUUAGGCCGUGAACACUCCCUAUAGUUUACCCUUGAAGAGUAAACUCUAUAUCCUAGCCAUUCAUGUCUUGAAAUGCCACCCGGGUCACUUCAAACGCUCAUUUUGGAGUGUUUUCGCGUCUUAGCAUAUUCAAGUGUAUCUAAUUAGUUAUAUAAAUCUAAUAAGAUAUAUAUAUAUAUAGUGUAUUAUUUAAUAUUACAUAGGAACCUCGCUCGNGCAUCCCAUUCGACACUUUCUGCGUCCGGUGAGUUCAUACCCCUACCCUUUUUCAAUGGUUUUUCAAUGUUUUCAGGGGGGAAUACAAGCAAGAGUACAAGAAUAUCUUGUACUUAAACUUAUGAUUUUAGUUAAAUGGUUUCAUACUUGUACAUUUUUAAGGAUUGAAAACCCUUUUAACAAACUGUUUUAACUUGCAGAGUUAUUUGUUUAAAAACCGAUUCUCAAUUCUUAUUAUAUAGUGUGAUAUUCUAUACUUCACAUUUGAUUGUUCAUACUUAUAUUGAUACAAAACAUAAAACAUUGUAAAGUCUGUAAUAAAAUACCAUAGGCACGAGUAUAAAAGUCAGACACCAUAAAGAACACAUAAAACUUCGGUAUGUCAUUAAUAAUACACCUAGGCUCGAGUGUAAAGGACAACAGUCAUUUGAUAAUAUAGAACAUUGUAAUGUCUUUAAUAAUGCACCUCGGCUCGAGUGUAAAUGGAUAGUCGUCAUUAGAAAACAUAGAACAUUUGUAAUGUCCUUAAUUACAACACCUAGGCCCGAGUGUAAAGGACAGGUACGUUAGAACCUAGUUAGUCAUAGAUACUACUUCCCCUAGGCGAGAAGUAAUGAGUAAUCUUAAAGAUUGGAGACACGUCCUUUGUAACACGUCCCGUGGCACGAGAGUGGAGGACUACCCCUGUAACCAGAAUCUCCGAACGUAGGAGAGCGUGACUUGAGUGUAUAGAUCUAUACGGGACUGACAAUCCCGCACCUGGCUGCUAGCUACAGCCGAACCGAAAGGUUCAAGGGUGACGAAAGUCAUAAAAAGGAUAUUGGCCACGACUCGAGUCAUAUCUAGUCUGAGUAUGGUUAAGGACUCGCAAUCUAGAUUAUUAACGCUUUAGAAUCAUUUACUAGCUUUAUGUACGUAGUAAAGCUAAUGUACGUCAAGGAUGAUGCACACACACACAUUCAGGAAAACAUGGGGUUUUCCUAUGGAUAACAAUGAACAUAAUCAAAAUCGGUAAUAGUUAGCAUACACAGAAUUGGUAAUAGUACACACACACACAUUCAGGAAAACAUGGGGUUUUCCUAUGGAUAAUAAUGAACAUCAGUUAGCUCACACAUAACCAAUAAUAGUUCACACUUACACAUAUAGGAAAGUAUAGGAUUUUCCUGAGUAACAGUAGUUGUAACCAGAUAAGUGUAAUAAGUUAAAUAACUAAACUUUACAAAUCAUAAGAACAAUCAUGUUUUCAUUGUACAUCUUUUACAAUACAAUUUGGAUUUGGUAACUUAACUAUUAAGAAAAUAUGGGAUUUUCUUGGUUAAUCACUUUUUCAGGAAACUAGAGGAACCCGUUCUUUUCAUAAAACAAACCGUUUAUGAACUCACCAGCUUUAUGCUGAUUUUAAAACCGCUUGUAUUCUCAGGUCCACUUUAGACAGGUACCCGACGAUCUCUUUUGGUGAAGACGUAGUGCGUAGAAGAAUCGUCUUUCUUUUGUUUAAGCUAUAUAUCUAUGAAACCUGUACUACUUUACUUUUCAACUGAUGUAAUGAAAUCUAUGUAAUGUAAUGUUUUGUGUUUUACUUCGCUUACUAUGUACAUUGGUUAUGAUUCACAUGAAGUCACCUCCGCCCCGAGACGUUUCCGCCUUCGGUUUCGGGGUGUGAAAGAUUGGUAUUAGAGCCCUUGUUUAUAGUGAACUAAGUAUACCAAACUUUACAUAGUAUAAGACUAUAAACACUAAGGGGCCUAAGUGCUCUGAACUAAAAGUAUACCUCAAAAUGUACGUAUUUUCAAAAAGUAUAAAAGUAUCCUAGUCAUCGAGAAUCGUAUCUAUAAAUAGAACAGAACAUAAGAAAAUGGGUGUUGUAUGCUGCAAUUAAACCUGGGCAGUUAUGUAGUCGUGUCUAGGAUCAAUAUAGCCUGAUCAACUAUAUUCAUUCGAGACACGGCCAACAUGUGCUUGGGAGUGACUAUGGAAUGCGGCAUACCUAAAACUUACCCAAAUACCACAAACAACGAAUCGUCGUUGCGGUGAAUCGUGAAAUGCUAUGAGAGUAUUUCUAGAUCCAACUUUUUCGUAGAGAAUUAUCAUUCAAGCGUUGCCCUUCGAUCAUUCCGUUACGAUAAAUGUCUGCUUUGAUAAUUCAUUCCUACUUAUUCGCCUAAUAGAAUUAUACGUCUAUCUUAAAGAGAUAUCCUUUGUUUCAUAUCUCUUGAUUUAAUUUAGAUGACUUAUUAUCCUGUUUUCCUAAACUUUUAGAUCGAGAUGUCUUCAAGGAAAGAACCCAACUCGAAGAACAACGACCCUUCGUCCCGACCCUCCUCUCGCUUCGACCCUAUGAUGUUCCAGCAGGCUGUUUCUGCUGCAGUGACGGCUGCAAUGAGGAUCUUGAACCCUAACAAGUCCAUUGGUCCAGGAUAUAACCCAAACCCCCAAAACGUGAAAAUGUUCAGGAACAUCAGAAUGAGUUUGAUAAGAGUAAUAAGGUUAUCUGGAAAAAGCGAAAGGGUCAGAGUUCCCAAGGACCCUCCAAGAAGCUCAAAACUGUGGCAGUCCAAGUUACUACCAAUCCUGCCGAUGUUCCUAUAGUUCAAGCUACCAUUACUCCUGUUAUUUUGUCUAAGGCUCAAGCACCUGUCACUGGGUAUGCUGGUAAUCUCCCUUGGUGCAGCAGGUGUAGUUAUCAUCAUUAUAUUCCUGGCCCAUGUCGCAAGAUGAUUUGCAAACGCUGUGGUAAGAAAGGUCAUCUUGCUAGAAGCUGCAGAACACUAGUCCAACACCUCGAACAAACUUCUGAAUCAAGUAUCGAAUAGGUCUGCUAUAGUUGUGGAGAAAUUGGGCAUUUCAAGCGAAACUGCCCAAAAGCAAGAACCCCCAACAAUGUCAACAAUGCCAGAAUGGUCUUAGCUUUGAAGCAGGAGGAGGCAGCCGCCGAUCCCACUAACAUCGUGGGUAUAUUUCCUUCCGACUAUCCUUAUGCUCGCAUCCUCUUCGAAUCUAGUGUGAAGAAAGUUCAAUUAGUCAUUCAUUCAAUUAUCUUGUUAAACAUAGUCCUCGUUUGACAACCAAAAACAUUUAUCGUCAAGAUAGUUAUUAGUGAGAAUGAGUGUAUAAACGACUUAUCUCUACGUUGUGUCCUUACCUUGAGUAAUCAUUCAUUUCUCAGUAACCCGAUGUCAGUUUCAGUAAGAGCUUUGAUGUUAUCCUUGAGUAAUCAUUCAUUUCUCAUUAACCCGAUGUCAGUUUCAGUAAGAGCUUUGAAGCCCUAAACUCACCCCAACCCAUGUAAAAAUUAGUUGAAUCACUUGUGAUUAAUCCUUGGCCUUCAAAAUAAUUAAGAAUGAUGUGGGUGAGAGUUUACGGCCGUAAACACUUAGUUUACUGCCGUAAACUCAUAAAUUGGUCCUUAUGGUUGAGUUAAUUCCUUGAUAAUGCCCUAGAACCAAACCUAGCAACACCCAUUAUUUGAUUUAAGGCCAUUUAGCUCAUAGAAACACCCACCAUGAGUUUACGGCUAUAAACUCAUGGGGAUGUGGUGUUUAGGCCGUGAACACUCCCUAGAGUUUACCCUUGAUGAGUAAACUCUAUAUCCUAGCCAUUCAUGUCCUGAAACGCCACCCGGGUCACUUCAAACGCUCAUUUUGGAGUGUUUUCGCGUCUUAGAAUGUUCAAGUGUAUCUAAUUAGUUAUUUAAAUCUAAUUAGAUAUAUAUUGUGUAUUAUUUAAUAUUACAUAGGAACCUCGCUCGUAUUCAAGCCUCGGUUCGACGUUUAGCAUCCCAUUCGACACUUUCCGCGUCCGGUGAGUUCAUACCCCUACCCUUUUUCAAUGGUUUUUCAAUGUUUUCAGGGGGGGAAUACAAGCAAGAGUACAAGAAUAUCUUGUACUUAAACUUAUGAUUUUAGUUAAAUGGUUUCAUACUUGUACAUUUUUAAGGAUUGAAAACCCUUUUAACAAACUGUUUUAACUUGCAGAGUUAUUUGUUUAAAAACCGAUUUUCAAUUCUUAUUAUAUACUGUCAUAUUGUAUACUUCACAUUUGAUUGUUCAUACUUAUAUUGAUAGAAAACAUAAAACAUUGUAAAGUCUGUAAUAAAAUCCCAUAGGCACGAGUAUAAAAGUCAGACACCAUAAAGAACACAUAAAACUUUGGUAUGUCAUUAAUAAUACACCUAGGCUCGAGUGUAAAGGACAACAGUCAUUUGAUAAUACAGAACAUUGUAAUGUCUUUAAUAAUGUACCUCGGUUCUAGUGUAAAUGGAUAGUCGUCAUUAGAAAACAUAGAACAUUUGUAAUGUCCUUAAUAAUAACACCUAGGCCCGAGUGUAAAGGACAUGUACAUUAGAACCUAGUUAUUCGUAGAUACUACUUCUCCUAGGCGAGAUGUAAUGAGAAAUCUUAAAGAUUGUAGACACGUCCUUAGUAACACGUCCCGUGGCACGAGAGUGGAGGACUACCCCUGUAACCAGAAUCUCUGAACGUAGGAGAGCGUGACUUGAGUGUAUAGAUCUAUACGGGACUGACAAUCCCGCACCUGGCUGCUAGCUACAGCCGAACCGAAAGGUUCAAGGGUGACGAAAUUCAUAAAAAGGAUACUGGCCACGACUCCAGUCAUAUCUAGUCUGAGUAUGGUUAAGGACUCGCAAUCUUGAUUAUUAACGCUUUAGAAUCAUUUACUAGCUUUAUGUACGUAGUAAAGCUAAUGUACGUCAAGGAUGAUGCACACACACACACACAUUCAGGAAAACAUGGGGUUUUCCUAUGGAUAACAAUGAACAUAAUCAGAAUCGGUAACAGUUAGCAUACACAGAAUUGGUAAUAGUACACACACACACAUUCAGGAAAACAUGGGGUUUUCCUAUGGAUAAUAAUGAACAUAAUCGGAAUCAGUAUCAGUUAGCUCACACAGAAACAGUAAUAGUUCAAACUUACACAUAUAGGAAAGUAUAGGAUUUUCCUGAGUAACAGUAGUUGUAACCAGAUAAGUGUAAUAAAUUAAAUAACUAAACUUUACAAAUCAUAAGAACAAUCAUGUUUUCAUUGUACAUCUUUUACAAUACAAUUUGGAUUUGGUAACUUAACUAUUAAGAAAAUAUGGGAUUUUCUUGGUUAAUCACUUUUUCAGGAAACUAAAGGAACCCGUUCUUUUCAUAAAACAAACCGUUUAUGAACUCACCAGCUUUAUGCUGAUUUUCAAACCGCUUGUAUUCUCAGGUCCACUUUAGACAGGUACCCGACGAUCUCUUUUGGUGAAGACAGAGUGCGUAGAAGAAUCGUCUUUCUUUUGUUUAAACUAUAUAUCUAUGAAACUUGUACUACUUUACUUUUCAACUAAUGUAAUGAAAUCUAUGUAAUGUAAUGUUUUGUGUUUUACUUCGGUUACUAUGUACAUUGGUUAUGGUUCACAUGAAGUCACCUUCGCCCCGAGACGUUUCCGCCUUUGGUUUCGGGGUGUGACAAAUGGCACUAGCAAGGGUUUUCUUACCCUUUUAUAUGGUCUCUACAAUGGCAUCAACCUUGAUUAUGGGACGAUUAUCUGGUCUCAAGUGGUGCAGAGUCUCAAUACAUCUACGAGGCAUUCAGAGAUAUCAUGUGGGCGCUUCUGGACGCUUAUUACAAGAAGGGAGAUUAACACUUUGGACAUUCCUGUGAUGAAGGAUACCCUAGUCGUGUCCAUUGCUAUGUUUCACAUGAAGAAGAUCAUCAUCUCUGAUCCAACAAAGUUCCAUCACGAUGGCUCAAUUCCUGAAUCCAUGUAUCGUUGUGUCUCAGCGGAAAGUCAUGUUAUGGCGGAAUACAAAAAACAUACUCCUAAGGGACUGAGAGUCCUUACUCCAGAAUAGCAGGCUGCCCUGGAAUCUGUAGACAAGCCUGGUAACCGAGGGAAACGCACUACCACAAAGAAAGAGUCCACAGAAGAGGAUAAGACUAAAGCUUCUAAGUUACGAAAACGAAAUUCUAAGAAAAGGAGAUUCUUCCAAGCCCAAGAAGCUUAAGAAAAUCGCAAGAAGAUCCAAGAGUCCCACUUCUCCUAGCUUAGAAAAUGACAAGGAAGAUGAAGAAGAGGAGGGUCAUCACGAAUCACUGGGAGGCACUACACCUCCCAGAUCCCCAACUCCAACCGAACCCAUUCAUGACAAAAUUCCUACCCCACCUCCAUCAUUAAAACAAACAAUUCCAGUUUCGCUUCCUAUCGAUCCUCCACCCACUACUUCACAACUAACGACUUCUUUACCACCACCACCUCCACCAGUUACUACUACUCCUAUUUCUACAACUCAAUUACCACCUCCUAUAAUUUCUCAAUCCACCACCACUAUGAUUCCUGAACCGACAUUGGAAGUCAACAUAUCUGAUACGGGGGACACUACUGUAACUAAAACUCCCAUCAUCUAUAAACCUCUUUCACCCACCCACUCAACCGAUUCCAGUGCAACUCUUGGUGGUGAGAAUGAUGAGUAUGAUUCUACAUACAUUAUUCCAUAUCGGCUACCGACUGAUGAGGAUGAUGAUGCUCUUGUCACUAGCAACACUUGCAGAGCAUUAAUGAGAAACUCAAUCGAUUGCUUGAAGACAGAAAAUCCUAUAGUGGUGUGGUUCUCAAAGCCUUUCUGGACACUGCUCUGGAACAAUAUACAUAGUCUAUUGAAAAAUCUGUUGGAUUAAUGUCUAAGUCCAUAACUAUAAUUGGUAAGACUUGACCCGACCCGACAUGGUCCAUUUGGGUUGCAUGGCAUCAUGCACUUGGAUAGACUAUAAUGAGAGAAAUAAGACACUUAUGGUUAUUAAUAUAUUAUAAGUUCUAGUACAUUAAUAAUAAGAAUAAUAAGAUUAUUUAAUUAUUAUUGAUCAAGAAUUAAUCUAGGAUUAAUUAAGUGAUCAAAAGAAGACUAAUUAAAUAUAUGGGUUGAUUGUGUAAAUCAUCCAUACUUGUAUAGUGGGCUAAUGCUCCAUGGAUAAUCAAGUUGGGCUAAAACCCAUAGGAUGGUCCAUGGAUGCUCCAUGGUGUACUCGAACCCAUGGAUCCAAGGAAAUUGAAAGUCAUGACAAUUAGGGUUUACCCUAAUUGUAACACUAUAUAUAGAUCUUAUUCUUGACAAAAUCGGCCACUAGUGAGAGUAAGAAAGGGCUAGCCAAUUUCAUGAGUUGUAGAUUUCUCUCAAGUUAUUCCAAGUGUAUUUGGUGUUGUGUGAACCAUUUGAGGUGUCACACUUGGGGCACUAGGCACUCAAGCUACAUGAAGAUUGUCUACACCAAAGAGGUAUGUAUUCUAUCUUGCUAUAGUUAUUGUUUUGUAUGCUAGAUUAGGAUAAUACCUUGGAAGUUCUUAUUUGCAUGUAUAAUAGAGAAAACAUAGAUCCAAGGUAUUUAGGGUUGCAUGUACACUUAGGAAGUGUUAGAAUGCUCAAAACCCAACAGUGGUAUCAGAGCCACGGGUUGUUUUCUGUUAUAUUGAUGCAAAUAUUUUAUUUUCAAAGUUGAAAAAAAAAAAAAAAAAAAACAUGAAGUUUGUCAAAUUUUAAGAUAAUUACUUGUUCUUGUGAAAAACUAAUUAUUUGUAAAAUUUGAAUAAUUUGCUUUAUGAGUUGAAUUAGGUCAAAUUUAAUAAAAGAUAAAAUAAUAUGAUUAUUUUAUUAGUUUUAAAAGUUUGAUCUAAAGAGUUUUAUUUUUUGAAACCUCCAUAAGUUAUGGAUAUGAAAAGGUUUUAAAAAAAAAAUUGAUUCAAAGUUUUUUUGGAGUUACAAAAUUUGGUGUUAAUGUUUUAAAGGAUUCCAUAACUUAAGAAUAAGUUAUGGAUCACCAAAAGUUUUUUGUGUUACCUUGUUUUAUGAGUGAAUUUAGAUUAAUGAAUAAAAUUAUGUGAUAGUUGGUUUUAAUCCAAAUUAAUCUAAGAAUUGAUUCUAAAAUGUGUUUUUGUAACUUGUCCUCAAGUUAUAUGAAAAGUCACAUUUAAGAAUCAUAAAACUCAUAAAAAUUGGCAAAGGUUACAAAAAUGAAGAGUCUAGUUCUAAUUAAAUGGUUUUAUGACUCCAUAACUUGUCCUCAAGUUAUGGAGGACCAAGAGUCUCUUCAUUUAAUAAAAUAAAAUAAAAAAAAAAAAAGUGUAACCUUAAUUAAUUCCAUAAGUUAUAAAAUAAAGAAAAGUUAAUUCUUUUAUUAGUUUAAAGUCUUCCAUAACUUGUCCUCAAGUUAUGGAACUUGAAGAGUUUUUGGAUUAAAACUACUUUAAACACAUAAGUUAUGGAAUUAAUUAGUUUUGAAUAGUUUCAAAACUUGCCCUCAAGUUUUGGAAUUUGUAAAGUUUUCACUUAUGAAUACUUUAAUUCCAAGUUAGCCCUUAGAAUUUUAAAAGUUAAAAUUCAACCCUUAUACUUUAUAAUAUUAUAAGUUAAUAAUAUAUAUAUGUAUAAGAGUAAAGUCAGUCUUACCGCUAGUACGCCUCAUUCACGAAGCCGGUCUAUAAGGUGGGUAUAAGGUUGUUGCCUAUAAAAUGGCAACUUAAUGGGUGUCCACUCUCACCCACCGCUUGCUUGACUGGUGGAGGGUCGUUAGCCGAACGGGUUUGACAGGACUAGAAUUCUCCCUUCAUUAAAAGUAUUAAUGAUAAUACUAAGUAACUAAACUCUUAAUAAUACCCAAUCUUAGUUACUUAGGAAAAAUGUGAAUAAGGUGCUAAUCCAUGAAAUUACACUUUACACUUUGUCUAAGUCGUUAGUGGAGCGUGUGUGGUUAACCGGCACACUAACUUGGACUUAACAAGGUAGGUAAAGGGUGACUUAAUAUUUAUCAUAGUAUCGAUGGAGCGUGUGUGGUUAACCGGCACAUCGAUUGAGGGGUAAUUUAUUAAGGGUACCAAGUGAUUUGCAUGGUUACUUCACACCUUGUUUUGUGAUCCUCGGCAUCCCAGUCACAAAACCUGAAGGGCACACUCGAGAUUGAAACAUGCCUUUGAACAGUUCAAUGAAUCUCAAAGAUCUAGGAGUUUCAAAACCAAUUAAAACCUAAUAAUACAUUUCGUUUAUCUUGGUGGAAAUUGGUGAAUCGUCAUUCACCUACCUUCAAAUAUUUUAUAGCUUGGAUUACGGCAUACCUCUUCUAAGUUA